GUCUAACUCUGUAUUACGGUAUAUUUGACCCUUAAUUAAUUUUACGCCGGAAUAUCCCUUUAAGGAGCUGUGAAUAAGCUUGUUGCCAAAAUGUCAAAUUAUUCUUUUAAUGAUGUGUCUUUUCAUGCGGCACUCAUUCAACAGUCAGCGCAGGACUGUGCAGGAUUUUAUCACAGGUAUGUGCAAGGUGACAUCUUUAUCCUACCCGGCACAACCGCCCUAAAUUUGUCUCCCCCCAGUGGAUAGCAUUUACUUCAAAUUUCUGACCCUGAUACAGCAACUCCUGUGGGAAAGGGUUUCACUUUGCUGACGGCUGAAGAAUUAUUUACAACACCAGAGCGCUCUGAUAUCUCAAACAGUGUCAGCUCUAGCAGGAAAACACUCCUCUCCCACAGCCUCUACUUGGUUUAUAGGGAGAGAAAACAUCCGUGAGCUGCUUUAAAUCUAAAGGAAGAGCUCCAGCGUGAGUCCCGCAGGUGAACCUCCCCUGAGUCAUCAGGAGUAACAGUAUGUUCUCACCAGCCUUGCGUCCCAUGACUGGAUGAAUUGAAUAAAAUGCAUUAUUCUGUGCUUCUGGGGCUGCGCCUCAUGUUCUGCAAGGCUCUCCUCUUUUUUUUUCCAUCCAGCUCUCCAGAAACUACAACAUUUAUAUCCGCCUGCAUCAUUUAUCAAAAAGGAAUCUGUUAAGAAAGCAUUCCAGUAUGCAACUAAAUAUCUCAGCUGCAAACAUUUGUCGCCGAGCUGUGUUUUCUUUUUUUUAUGUAGAGCUUUCAGGAAGGAUUUCUUUCACUGCUCUUAUGCAUAAGCUGAUAUUAAACAACCUGGACCUCUUCACACAUACACACACACACAGACACACACAGGAACAUUUUUGAGUGAACAAGGUGUGAGCACCGACUGUGCUAGAUCAUACCAUCGCGGCGAUAUGCGCCCAUGCUGGUCGACAUAUGUCCCCGUGGCUCCAGGUCUCAUCCUGAGAUGAUACGAGGGGCAGUCUGGUUUUUAGCUCGCAUCUCAUUAGGCCGCUGGUCUGAACACACUUAGCAUCAAAUGUAUGUGUGUGUGUGUGUAUCUGUGUGUGCAGUGAUAACAUGAUGGAGUGUGUGUUUCAGAUGACCGCCUGAGGUAUUUCCCAUCUGCUCAAUGUAGCAUUUACACCCUCUCCUGUUUGUUUGUGAGAAAAGUGUGAGCACAAAAGCAAACUAUGAGCAUGUGUGUAUGUGACUGUGUAUAUGUGUGUAUUUCAGUCUCUUAUCAAGCCAUUCCUGCGGCCAUAAAUGCACACUUCUCAGUGCGCAAGCUGUCAUACCUCAUGCAUUAUCAACCAGUACAUUGACAUGGCAUAUUAAACCUCCCCUGCUGCUUUUUUUUCUUUUUCACACCAUGUUUAUCUUCAUCACGUGACCAAAGUGAAAUGUAAGGAGUCCACAGUUAAGGGUUUCCUUUGAGGGAUGCCAAACAGGAGUUCUCAUCACGACCUCUGACACUAAAAUGACGCAGUGAUCGCACUGAUGCUUAUCCAGACUGCGGACGCAUGCUGUACACUUGUCUUCCUGCUUCCUCUGAGGCGAUUUAAAGUGCAGAGGAAUCAAGGAGUCAAGAUGCUCGGCCUCUUAUUGGGGCACGGGGAGCUGUUUAUGUGUCCGUGUGUGUGUGUCCGAGGCGUUGAAUAAUUGAUGAGAAGCAGCGCAUGUACACAAACUCCAUCUGUGGACCUGAGCUGAUAAGAAUCACGGCGGUCCAUGAAAUUGGUUGCUUCCUUUCCCUGCGAGGUUGCUGGAGAUUCAAAACGUGGGGGAGGGAUUAGUUUUACGUGUUUGCAUCCAGCAACUCGAGACGAACAGCUGGUAUCAGUCUUCUCAGCUAACUUGUAAAACAACUUUUAAGCGAAUCUUGGUAAAAGAAGUCAUUUUGGACACCUGAAGGUUUAUUUUUGCCUUCUACGCUCUCUCUCUCUUUUACACUCACACUAACCAAGCCAUGUUUGAACUGAAUGUUCUCUUUCUGCACAUUUUAAAGGCCUGCUUCAUCAUAUUACACAUUCGAGACAGUUUCAGUGUCACACAUUUAGCCUGCACACAAGACUUUUUAUUGUUAACACCACACAACACUCACAAAGCACUUGCAAUAUGUAUCUGUUCUGUCACAUAUAGUAUACUCGGUUGUACCAAUGAUGUUUUCUUAUCUUCUUUUUCAUGAAGUAAUCAAAUUAUUUCUAUGAAUACAUGAAGAUUUUUCUCUAAGAGGAAGAAUCGACACACACUGACUGUUAACUGAUGACUUUUUUUUUCUUAUCUGAUCUCUGUGUGUACAAACUGCCUUCGUUCUUGUUGUAUAUUGUGUUGACUGACAAAAUUGCGUUCUGGUGCUGUUGUUGUUUGACUCUGUGUGCAGUUUAAAGACCUCCUUCAGAGCGGUCCGUGUGACUGGGCGACUCUGGAGGUUUCCGGUUUAGAACUGAAUAAAGAUUUUUUUUGGCAGC
rnacentral:lncRNA from 1 species